GCACCAUAAUUUCUCCAGGAGCUCUAUAAAACAAGGCAAAGGAAGAGGCAUUCGGACACCUAAGAGUAGUUGUAUGGACAACUUAAAGAGUAAAUGAAGACAGAGGCUUUGCCAAAAUUUAUUGAAGGUUAGCUGUCUGGACACCUCUAGGAGCCGUUCAGACAGUUGUCGCGGACCUGUGAUUUUCAGAGCAUAUUUUUGAGGGCUUUUUGGGAAUCUUCAAUUGUAACCAAUGGAGGACACUUUUGUAAGGGUUGUUAGGUAUUUUUAGCUAGAAAAAUGGGCUAAAACCCUAAUUGUUCUCAUUCUCUCAAUGGAUUCAAGCCACCUUAGGAGUAGGAGUAGUGUAGAAUAGCUCUCUCUAGAUUUCUUUGUUUCUCUUAGUUCAUCUCUUUUAUUUUGUUUAAACUCUGAUUUAGAUGAUAAUAGAUUGGAUGUUUAUUGCAAUAAUCAUGAGUGGCUAGUUUUCUUCUCUAGUUUCUAAUCCCGAAGGACGGAUGCGAUAUUCAAUUGCUCAAGGUAUUUAUAGAAUCAUAGCUUCGAUAUCUCUGUUUCAAUUUUGUGGUAUUUAUGUGUUGGGUGCAUAUGAAUUGACAUGUUUUUAUCGUGUUUUCUUGAUUCGGAGUGUGAAUCGGGUUCGACGACUAGGCUACGCCCCAAGGGAGAAUAUUAAUUCAUAAAAAUUGAUAUAGUGUGUGUUAUGUAUUCAUCAUGUAAUCUAGGAACUCAAUUUAGCAUGCUUGAAUAGAAGUCAUUAAUGUCCAAUGCAUGAUUUUCUCAGUUGUUUGAGUCAAAUUGCAUAGCUAUUGAUUAUAUGUAUGGAUGAUUGGUUUUGGUGGAAUUUAUUGAAUGAGUAUGGUAUUAUGGUGAUUUGGUCUUUGAGUGUGUAACUAGGGUGUGAGCAAAGCCGAGCCUCGUUAGGAAUGUUAAUAAAUAAGAUUUGGUGUCUAUCCCUAAGCUUUCAUCGUAAAUCAAUGAGCCCGAUGACCUUCGUAUUUGUAUUGAAGUCUUCAUGCCCAAUUUUCAUUGCAUAUGCAUGAUUGAUGGUAUCACAUAAUUUCGUUGUGAAUGGUUGUGUUUGUAAUUUUACAUUGAGCAUGAGAAUUGAACAUCCACCGAGAAGGAUUGAAAAUUACAGCUUUUAGUUAAUCAUUUUAUUUAUUAUUGUUUUAGUAUGAUACUUGUUCACAUAUUUACCGAGCUCUCGACCCUUUUAAAAUUUUCCGCACUUUAUUCCUUAUUAUUUGUAUUUAGCUCGUUAAUAAGUUGUUUGCAUUCAUCCAUUAAAGUUACAUUAAUUUUCUUGUGAUUCCACACUAAUCUCAUCGAUUUUAUUACUAAUCCACGAUUCUACCACUUGGGAUAAGUACCCACAUUUUGAUGUCCAUCCACUAUUCUAUUUCAAUUAUUGAGUCUGGACAACAAAUGCUAUAGUCAGCAAUUUAAAGUAGAGGAUAUUGGUGGCAAUUUCUAUAUCCAGCUGGAUACAAUUAACUGCAAAGUGGAGUGUGGGCCAACUUAUAUAAUGUAAAGGGUAGACCGACCUUCUAAAGACUUAUUGCAACCACUUUAAUUUGUCGGGAGAUUUCUAUUUAAAGGGUAAGUGGAUGUGGGCCACUUGUUUGUUGGAUGGAAAUGCAUUCAUUAUCAUCGAUGGACUCGCAUAUAACUUCUAAAUUACGUAAUGAUUUAGAAAUUUCAUGAUGGAUCAGAUUAGUGUGCGUUUUGGCUCUGUGAAAGGAGCAAUGAAGAUAUUUUCUUCCAUGGUUUCACACUACUCAUGUGUAUUCAUCCUCCUACUUGAUGUUAUUUUCUGCCAUGGUUCCUUGGGCAUGCUCAUUCUUGAAUCCUUGAAGCGUUGCAGCAAAUUGUAACAGAUAUUAAUUGUCUUUGCUUUCAAUGAUAAUGGAUUUGCUCAAGGGUUUCUUUAACCAUUACCAGUCUGGGAAAUGAGAUCUACAACAUUUAUUGUAUGUAUGUUUUGAAACUGCUAUUUGUUGAUGGAUAUUUGCUGACCGUUGUGUUGAUUACUGAGAAGAAAAUUGGGACGAUCA